rnacentral:rRNA from 1 species
UGAGCUGUGCCUAGGGGUGAAAGGCCAAUCAAACUCGGAGAUAGCUGGUUCUCUGCGAAAUCUAUUUAGGUAGAGCGUCAUCCGAAUACCCCCGGGGGUAGAGCACUGGAUGGGUAAUGGGGCCCCACAGGCUUACUGAUCCUAACCAAACUCCGAAUACCGAGGAGUACUAGAUGGCAGACACACUGCGGAUGCUAACGUCCGUAGUGAAGAGGGAAACAACCCUGACCUACAGCUAAGGCCCCUAAUUCAUGGCUAAGUGGGAAAGCAGGUGAGACGUCCAAAACAACCAGGAGGUUGGCUUAGAAGCAGCCAUCCUUUAAAGAUAGCGUAACAGCUCACUGGUCUAAAUAAGUUGUCCUGCGGCGAAGAAAAAAGGGA